GACGAACGCUGGCGGCGUGCUUAACACAUGCAAGUCGAACGGUGAACCUCUUCGGAGGGGAUCAGUGGCGAACGGGUGAGUAACACGUGGGCAACCUGCCCCCGGCUCUGGGAUAACUCCAAGAAAUUGGGGCUAAUACCGGAUGUUCACCGCUUCCCGCAUGGGUGGUGGUGGAAAGGGUUUCCGGCUGGGGAUGGGCCCGCGGCCUAUCAGCUUGUUGGUGGGGUAGUGGCCUACCAAGGCGACGACGGGUAGCCGGCCUGAGAGGGUGACCGGCCACACGGGGACUGAGACACGGCCCAGACUCCUACGGGAGGCAGCAGUGGGGAAUAUUGCGCAAUGGGCGGAAGCCUGACGCAGCGACGCCGCGUGGGGGAUGACGGCCUUCGGGUGGUAAACCUCUUUCAGCAGGGACGAAGCGCAAGUGACGGUACCUGCAGAAGAAGCACCGGCCAACUACGG
rnacentral:rRNA from 1 species